UACGAGGGUCCUAGCGUUGUUCGGAAUCAUUGGGCGUAAAGCGUCUGUAGGCGGCUUUGUAAGUCGGGUGUGAAAGCCCCAGGCUCAACCUGGGAAGUGCAUUCGAUACUGCUUAGCUUGAAUGUUGGAGAGGAUAGUAGAAUUCCAGGUGUAGUGGUGAAAUACGUAGAUAUCGGAAGGAACAUCAGUGGCGAAAGCGAACU
rnacentral:rRNA from 1 species